GGCCGAUUAGUUUAAAUGGUAAAACGGCGGAUUUGUACCCCGCAGAUGUCGAGUUCGAGUCUCGCAUUGGCCUCCA
rnacentral:tRNA from 1 species